rnacentral:snRNA from 1 species
UUUGCUUCUCGGCUUUUUGGCUAAGAUCAAGUGUAGCAUCUGCUUUUAUCGGUUGAGCACAAAUAAGUACUUUUAAAUAAGUAUCAGUUCUUACUCCUAUAACUGUUGCUUGCUCACUCCAU